CAAGGUGUUUUUGUAGUGCUUGAAUCCAUCUAAAAAGAUAUUUUUUAUUAGAACAAUGGCUGGAAGCGACCACAUUGUGUCAAAUUAAAAGUCUAGAACACAAAUUAAGGUUUCAUUUUCAUACACCCAAGUACUAAUUUCAUAACACUAGGAAAAGUGAAAAUUUAAAAUGAAAACUAAAUACCCAAUUCUUUCCUCUCCCCUUGACGGCGGAUUGUAGUUUUUUUCUCUUCCAGCUUCCUCUUCUCAUCGUCAUCUUCAAGCUUCUUCAACAGUUUGCCUUAAGAGGGAAUCUUCAUUUUUGGAUUGCCCUUGCGGUUAGAGGUCAGGAAUUGAGACAAUUUAAUCGCCCAAAGAUUUCAUUGUGUUGAGGUGUAUGGCUUGUGGAUGGUGUUGGUGAAGGUGAAUGGCGGUUGACUGCAGAGGGCAGUGGCUGGUGAUUGUUUGGAAGGGGGUGUGGGUGGUGGCUGUGUUGAUGAUCACGGUGCUGAAAAUCAAGAAAUUGAGAGCUUUGUUUUGCUUUGCUUUUAGAGAUCAAAAAGCGAAAUUAAUAGAAAUGGGUCAGUAACAAUCAUCAGGUAGUGUAUGUUUGGAUUACAAUAGAAACUCCAACUGAUUAGUUAUCACCGACUCUGCUACUAUUAACCAAGGAAUAAAAAAUCGAUAAUAUCGGCGAUAUUUCGCCGAUAUUAUCGUUUUUUUUAAGAUCCGAUAUUUUUUGAACUACCCAAAUAAUUUUCGUCAAAAUAUCGCGAUAUUAUCGAUAAUAUCGAUAAUAUCGCGAUAUUUUUAAAAUUAUCGAAAAUAUCGUAAUAAAAUAUUCAAAAAUACUUAAUAUGUUGAGAAAUCUCAACAUACUACACUUGAUCAAAGCCCAAAGGGCCAACCAAGAC
rnacentral:lncRNA from 1 species